rnacentral:rRNA from 1 species
AUUGAACGCUGGCGGCAGGCCUAACACAUGCAAGUCGAGCGAGCGGCGGACGGGUGAGUAAUGUAUGGGGACUGCCCGAUAGAGGGGGAUAACUACUGGAAACGGUGGCUCAUACCGCAUACUAUCGGAUAACCCAUAUGGGAUUAGCUAGUAGGUGGGGUAAAGGCUCACCUAGGCGACGAUCUCUAGCUGGUCUGAGAGGAUAAUUAGCCAAACUGGGACGGAGACACGGCCCAGAAUCCUACGGAGGCAGCAUGGGGGAAUAUUGCGCAAGGGGGGCAACCCUGACGCAGCCAUGCCGCGUGAAUGAAGAAGGCCUUCGGGUUGUAAAGUACUUUCGGUAGCGAGGCGUUAACUACAGAAGAAGCACCGGCUAACUCCGUGCCAGCCGCCGCGGUAAUAC